rnacentral:rRNA from 1 species
GUGACUUGUUAUAUCUCCACAAUGCUUGCAGCAUCCGACACUGAUAGCACGGACCUCGAUGAGCCCGUAGAAUCCUCCAACACGGGAUCUAUCGACCUAGAUCCUUUCGACUAUGUCUACUCGAACAUCCCAGACAGCACACACAUCCUGAAGCACGCGGCAAACUGCGAGCAUUGCAAGGCCAAGAAGUUCCAGUACGAGACUGACGGCUUCUGCUGUCGGAACGGGGAGAUUGAGCUAGCUGAACCCGAGCCUAUCCCAGAGCUGAUGAGGUUAUGGUCUAGCGCGGAUGCAGACUCUCGGCAUUUCCGGGAGAGCAUUCGGUUCUUCAACGGGCACUUUGCCUUCACUACCCUUGGCGUCAGCCUAGACAACAACUACACAAACAUGAAGUCCGGGGUGUACACGUUUCGGGCACAUGGCACUAUGUAC